rnacentral:rRNA from 1 species
GGAGCCAUGUGGUUUAAUUCGAUGCAACGCGAAGAACCUUACCUGGUCUUGACAUAUCUAGAAUCCUGCAGAGAUGCGGGAGUGCCUUCGGGAAUUAGAAUACAGGUGCUGCAUGGCUGUCGUCAGCUCGUGUCGUGAGAUGUUGGGUUAAGUCCCGCAACGAGCGCAACCCUUGUCCUUAGUUACCAGCGGGUUAAGCCGGGAACUCUAAGGAUACUGCCAGUGACAAACUGGAGGAAGGCGGGGACGACGUCAAGUCAUCAUGGCCCUUACGACCAGGGCUACACACGUGCUACAAUGGUAGGUACAGAGGGCAGCUACACAGCGAUGUGAUGCGAAUCUCAAAAAGCCUAUCGUAGUCCAGAUUGGAGUCUGCAACUCGACUCCANGAAGUAGGAA